rnacentral:rRNA from 1 species
UGGGGAAUCUUGCGCAAUGGGCGAAAGCCUGACGCAGCGACGCCGCGUGCGGGACGAAGGCCUUCGGGUCGUAAACCGCUUUCAGCAGGGACGAGGCCCUCUGGGUGACGGUACCUGCAGAAGAAGCCCCGGCUAACUACGUGCCAGCAGCCGCGGUAAUACGUAGGGGGCGAGCGUUAUCCGGAUUCAUUGGGCGUAAAGCGCGCGUAGGCGGCCUGUUAGGUCGGGGGUCAAAUCCCGGGGCUCAACCCCGGUCCGCCCCCGAUACCGGCAGGCUUGAGUCUGGUAGGGGAAGGCGGAAUUCCCAGUGUAGCGGUGGAAUGCGCAGAUAUUGGGAAGAACACCGGCGGCGAAGGCGGCCUUCUGGGCCACGACUGACGCUGAGGCGCGAAAGCUAGGGGAGCGAACAGG